rnacentral:rRNA from 1 species
GGGUGAGUAACACGUGGGUAACCUGCCCAAGAGACUGGGAUAACACCUGGAAACAGAUGCUAAUACCGGAUAACAACACUAGACGCAUGUCAAGAGUUUGAAAGAUGGUUCUGCUAUCACUCUUGGAUGGACCUGCGGUGCAUUAGCUAGUUGGUAAGGUAACGGCUUACCAAGGCAAUGAUGCAUAGCCGAGUUGAGAGACUGAUCGGCCACAUUGGGACUGAGACACGGCCCAAACUCCUACGGGAGGCAGCAGUAGGGAAUCUUCCACAAUGGACGAAAGUCUGAUGGAGCAACGCCGCGUGAGUGAAGAAGGGUUUCGGCUCGUAAAGCUCUGUUGGUAGUGAAGAAAGAUAGAGGUAGUAACUGGCCUUUAUUUGACGGUAAUUACUUAGAAAGUCACGGCUAACUACGUGCCAGCAGCCGCGGUAAUACGUAGGUGGCAAGCGUUGUCCGGAUUUAUUGGGCGUAAAGCGAGUGCAGGCGGUUCAAUAAGUCUGAUGUGAAAGCCUUCGGCUCAACCGGAGAAUUGCAUCAGAAACUGUUGAACUUGAGUGCAGAAGAGGAGAGUGGAACUCCAUGUGUAGCGGUGGAAUGCGUAGAUAUAUGGAAGAACACCAGUGGCGAAGGCGGCUCUCUGGUCUGCAACUGACGCUGAGGCUCGAAAGCAUGGGUAGCGAACAGGAUUAGAUACCCUGGUAGUCCAUGCCGUAAACGAUG